CAGGGAGACAACACAAUGAUUUUGAUGCCUGAGUGCUUUUAUUCUUAGGCCGAAAUCCUGUCACCUUAGGUCGAUCGGUACCUCAGCUUUGAAGUCAAGGAUCAGCAGCAAUGUUGAUUGCUUGAUGGAGAUUUUCAGUUCCUAAACUUUGUCUAGGUCACACCCCAAAAGGGAUGAGACUCCUGGGCCGUUAGCUCAGGUGGUUAGAGCGCACCCCUGAUAAGGGUGAGGUCCCUGGUUCAAGUCCAGGAUGGCCCAUUCGGUGUUGGGGGUUUAGCUCAGUUGGUAGAGCGCCUGCUUUGCAAGCAGGAUGUCAGGAGUUCGAGUCUCCUAACCUCCACUGACCGAACUUGAUUCCCAUCUCCAAUUUUUUGGAGUUGAGCUCGAUUGGAGUGUGAUUUAGAUGUGUCCGCUGGAUGACCCCAGCUUCCUGUCAUUCCAAGUUUUAGGUUGAUGCCUUGAAUUUGGUUGAUAAGAUGCUGGGCUCGGAUCAAAUGAUCAAGCAAUUGAUGAUUUGAUUUGAAGUUCUAGCAGAACCUUGACAACUGCAUAGGUGAGUCUGGAAAAAACAAAGCAUCUUACAGAUGCAUUGUUUUGAAUCUGAUCUUCUGAAAGGGAGAUUGGAUCUAGAACAAUGAAAAUUCUUUUGAGCAAGAGCCGAGACUCUUGAGCGUUCUUUGAUUGGUGUCGAGCCAAUCAGAGUUUGAUCUUGUUUUUAGCAAUAAAAACUUGAGAAUCUGCUUUCAACGGCGGUAAGCGUUCAGGAGGUUAAUU
rnacentral:tRNA from 1 species